rnacentral:rRNA from 1 species
CACGUAGGGCGCAAGCGUUGUCCGGAAUUAUUGGGCGUAAAGAGCUCGUAGGCGGUCUGUUGCGUCUGCUGUGAAAACCCGGGGCUUAACCCCUGGCUUGCAGUGGAUACGGACAGACUAGAGGUAGGUAGGGGAGAAUGGAAUUCCCGGUGUAGCGGUGAAAUGCGCAGAUAUCGGGAGGAACACCGGUGGCGAAGGCGGCCUUCUGGACAGUGACUGACGCUGAGACGCGAAAGCGUGGGGAGCAAACAGG